rnacentral:rRNA from 1 species
UAAAGCACCGAUCCCCGGUACCGAGCUCGAAUUCAGAAUCCCAUUAGAACUCCGAAGUUAAGCGUGCUUGGGCGAGAGUAGUACUAGGAUGGGUGACCUCCUGGGAAGUCCUCGUGUUGCAUUCC